CGUAGGGGCGAGCGUUGUCCGGAAUUAUUGGGCGUAAAGAGCGUGUAGGCUGUUCGGUAAGUCUGCCGUGAAAACCUGAGGCUCAACCUCGGGCGUGCGGUGGAUACUGCCGGGCUAGAGGACGGUAGAGGCGAGUGGAAUUCCCGGUGUAGCGGUGAAAUGCGCAGAUAUCGGGAGGAACACCAGUAGCGAAGGCGGCUCGCUGGGGCCGUUCCUGACGCUGAGACGCGAAAAGCUAGGGGAGCGAACAGGAUU
rnacentral:rRNA from 1 species